CCCCAGAGUUCUUUUACCACAGUCUUUGAUGUCUGCAAGUGGAACCAUUUCUCAUUGGUGCUAAGAUGACUGCUUGAUGUAUGGUCAGUGUGGUGACCCUUGGGUCCAGUCCUUCAUCAGUGAUGUCACAAUUAAGACAUGAAAAGCCACAAUUCCGCCUGAGCUCCAUCAUGGACAAAUGUGGUGAUGUCAUCCCUAAGUCAAUGAACUCCCACUGCUUUUCACUCAGCGAAUCCUAAAGAUGUCUCCAGGGAGCCUGGGGUCUGAAAAAGGGGCGACCUCUUCCACCACAUGGCACCUGACAGGAGACUGAGGACAGGGAAGACCACCCCCUCCUGCAGGAACCAGGAUGAGUUCAGACCCCACCUGCAAUGACUGUAGGAGGGCACAGCUGUGGAAGAUCCAUGAGGAUAACCCAGUAAAGGGGCAUUACGUCCCUUCAGAGGGGAAGGCCCAGUGCAGCUGAGAGGCUGUGGACACAGGACUGGACAGAACAGACUCAGCCAAACCUGUGAUGGCUGGAUAUUUAUCAACUGUUAAACGGUUGUAGUCAGUAAUUUCUACGAUGUUGGAGAUGGGGUGUAGAGGUCUCUGUGGUGCAACCAGCGUCAAGUUGAGGUAAACCACUCUGAGGUGUCAAUCAUUCUCUCCAAGUUUAAUAACAGGACAAACUGGGCUAUUAAAAAUAAGCACUGGGAACAAUCAAGCCUUCACUAUCUAGGUUUUCCAAACAGUUGUCAAUCGUUCAAGGCCCCGGGUAAUUUACAAUGGGCCAUGUUAACUACUUGAUUUAUGGGAUAAGGUUUCUGGGGUCCCAAUUUUUCAAGCAAUUUGUAAGUGGCAAAGACUUCAUUCAAUUUUAAUUCUUGCUCAUUGGAUCAGAGCUUCCCAGUUCACUAUUGGACAUUUCAGAACAAUGAGUGUUAUGACCAUGGAGAAUUUAGGCAAAAUCAUAGUUCUGAUGGCUAACGACGAAACAUUUGUCCUACUUGUCCUCUGUAUUAUAUUCAUUAGCACCCCUAAGAUCCUUAAAUUUAGUGGGAUCCCAGGUGUAACUGUAAUUUGACACCUAGUAUUGACUAACUGCUUGAGGUUUCUGAAUCAGUGCAUUACAUCAGAGAGCAAAAUUAAUUCAGAACCUGUUGUACAGGCCCAAAAAUCAAGCAGUGUGCCUUUAUCUGUUUUGUUAUGUAAAUCCUUUCAAUAUAUUCUGGGUUUCCAAUUGGGUCAAAUUGUGGGCCUUUGUUUCAGUAUUUUAUUUUGUUUUCUUCCUCCUGAUCAUUCUUGUUUUGUU
rnacentral:lncRNA from 1 species